rnacentral:rRNA from 1 species
GACGUAGGGCGCGAGCGUUGUCCGGAUUUAUUGGGCGUAAAGAGCUCGUAGGCGGCUUGUCGCGUCGGCUGUGAAAACCUGGGGCUUAACUCCGGGCCUGCAGCCGAUACGGGCAGACUAGAGUUCGGCAGGGGAGACUGGAAUUCCUGGUGUAGCGGUGAAAUGCGCAGAUAUCAGGAGGAACACCGGUGGCGAAGGCGGGUCUCUGGGCCGAUACUGACGCUGAGGAGCGAAAGCGUGGGGAGCGAACAGG